GGUCUCUAUGGGGCUCUAUGGGGUCUAUAGGGUCUUAAAGGGGUUCUAUGGGGCUCUAUGGGGUCUUUAUGGGGUUCUAUGGGGUCUCUAUGGGGCUCUAUGGGGUCUCUAUGGGGUCUUUAUGGGGCUCUAUGGGGUCUCUAUGGAUCUCUAUGGGGUCUCUAUGGGGUCCUAUGGGGUCUCAAUGGGUCUCUAUGGGGUCUUUAUGGGGCUCUAUGGGGUCUCUAUGGAUCCCUAUGCGUCCCUAUGGGGUCUCUAUGGGGACUAUGGUGUCUUUAUGGGGUUCUAUGGGGUCUCUAUGGGGUUUCUAUGGGGUCUCUAUGAGUCUCUAUGGGGCUCUAUGGGGUCUCUAUGGAUCUCUAUGUGGUCUCUAUGGGGUCCUAUGGGUCCCUAUGGGGUCUUUAUGGGGUUCUAUGGGGUCUCUAUGGGUCUUUAUGGGGCUCUAUGGGGUCUCUAUGGAUCCCUAUGCGUCCCUAUGGGGUCUCUAUGGGGUCUAUGGGGUCUUAAAGGGGUUCUAUGGGGCUCUAUGGGGUCUUUAUGGGGUUCUAUGGGGUCUCUAUGGAUCUCUAUGGGGUCUCUAUGGGGUCCUAUGGGGUCUCUAUGGGGUCUUAAAGGGGUUCUAUGGGGUCUCAAUGGGGUUCUAUGGGGUCUCAAUGGGGUUCUAUGGCGUCUCAAUGGGGCUCUAUGGGGUCUAUGGGGUCUUUAUGGGGUCUCAAUGGGUCUCUAUGGGUCCCUAUGGGGUCUUUAUGGGGCUCUAUGGGGUCUCUAUGGAUCCCUAUGCGUCCCUAUGGGGUCUCUAUGGGGUCUAUGGGGUCUUUAUGGGGUUCUAUGGGGUCUCUAUGGGUCUCUAUGGGGUUUCUAUGGGGUCUCUAUGGGUCUCUAUGGGGUCUUUAUGGGGUUCUAUCGGGUCUCUAUGAGUCUCAAUGGGUCUCUAUGGGGCCCUAUGGGUCUGUAUGGGGUCUAUGGGGUCUCAAUGGGUCUCAAUGGGUCUCUAUGGGGUCUAUGGGGUCUUUAUGGGGCUCUAUGGGUUCUCUAUGGAUCCCUAUGGGGUCUCUAUGCGGUCUAUGGGGUCUUUAUGGGGCUCUAUGGGGUCUCUAUGGAUCUCUAUGGGGUCUGUAUGGGGUCCUAUGGGGUCUCUAUGGGGCUCUAUGGGGUCUCUAUGGGGUCUUUAUGGGGUCCCUAUGAGUCUCUAUGGGUCUCUAUGGGGUCUAUAGGGUCUUAA
rnacentral:lncRNA from 1 species